GUGAGGAAUUUUCCGCAAUGGGCGAAAGCCUGACGGAGCAAUGCCGCGUGAAGGAUGAAGGCCUAUGGGUUGUAAACUUCUUUUCUUAGAGAAGAAUAUUGACGGUAUCUGAGGAAUAAGCAUCGGCUAACUCUGUGCCAGCAGCCGCGGUAAGACAGAGUAUGCAAGCGUUAUCCGGAAUGAUUGGGCGUAAAUCGUCUGUAGGUGGCUUCAAAAGUCUCCUGUCAAAGAUCAGGGCUUAACCCUGGGCCGGCAGGAGAAACUCUGAGGCUAGAGUAUGGUAGGGGCAGGGGGAAUUCCCGGUGGGGCGGUGAAAUGCGUAGAGAUCGGGAGGAACACCAAAGGCGAGAGCACUCUGCUGGGCCACAACUGACACUGAGAGACGAAAGCGAGGGGAGCAAAAGGGAUUAGAUACCCGGGUAGUCC
rnacentral:rRNA from 1 species